AGUACCGUAGCAGCUCAUUUGACAGAGCAACUACUCGAUAAGCAGAAGGUUACCGGUUCGAUUCCGGCUCGGAACGU
rnacentral:tRNA from 1 species